rnacentral:rRNA from 1 species
GAGUUUGAUCGUGGCUCAGGAUGAACGCUGGCGGCGUGCCUAAUACAUGCAAGUCGAACGAACAGAUAAGGAGCUUGCUCCUUUGACGUUAGCGGCGGACGGGUGAGUAACACGUGGGUAACCUACCUAUAAGACUGGAAUAACUCCGGGAAACCGGGGCUAAUGCCGGAUAACAUGUUGAACCGCAUGGUUCUACAGUGAAAGACGGUCUUGCUGUCACUUAUAGAUGGACCCGCGCCGUAUUAGCUAGUUGGUGGGGUAACGGCCUACCAAGGCGACGAUACGUAGCCGACCUGAGAGGGUGAUCGGCCACACUGGAACUGAGACACGGUCCAGACUCCUACGGGAGGCAGCAGUAGGGAAUCUUCCGCAAUGGGCGAAAGCCUGACGGAGCAACGCCGCGUGAGUGAUGAAGGUCUUCGGAUCGUAAAGCUCUGUUGUUAGGGAAGAACAAAUGUGUAAGUAACUGUGCAUAUCUUGACGGUACCUAACCAGAAAGACCACGGCUAACUACGUGACAGCCGCCGCUGUAAAACC